AUUGAACGCUGGCGGCAGGCCUAACACAUGCAAGUCGAACGAGUGGCGGACGGGUGAGUAAUGUCUGGGAAACUGCCUGAUGGAGGGGGAUAACUACUGGAAACGGUAGCUAAUACCGCAUACCAUCGGAUGUGCCCAGAGGGGAUUAGCUAGUAGGUGGGGUAACGGCUCACCUAGGCGACGAUCCCUAGCUGGUCUGAGAGGAUGACCAGCCACACUGGAACUGAGACACGGUCCAGACUCCUACGGGAGGCAGCAGUGGGGAAGAUUGCACAAUGGGCGGAAGCCUGAUGCAGAGACGCCGCGUGGGGGAUGAAGGCCUUCGGGUUGUAAACGCCUUUCGACAGGGACGCGGUACCUGUAUAAGAAGCACCGGCUAACUACGUGCCAGCAGCCGCGGUAAUUC
rnacentral:rRNA from 1 species